ACGAACGCUGGCGGCGUGCUUAACACAUGCAAGUCGAACGGUAAGGCCCCUUCGGGGGUACACGAGUGGCGAACGGGUGAGUAACACGUGAGCAACCUGCCUUUGACUCUGGAAUAACAGUUGGAAACAGCUGCUAAUACCGGAUAUGACCUCGACCGACAUCGAUCGAGGUGGAAAGCUCCGGCGGUCAAAGAUGGGCUCGCGGCCUAUCAGCUUGUUGGUGAGGUAACGGCUCACCAAGGCUUCGACGGGUAGCCGGCCUGAGAGGGCGACCGGCCACACUGGGACUGAGAUACGGCCCAGACUCCUACGGGAGGCAGCAGUGGGGAAUAUUGCACAAUGGGCGCAAGCCUGAUGCAGCAACGCCGCGUGCGGGAUGACGGCCUUCGGGUUGUAAACCGCUUUCAGUAGGGACGAAGCUAACGUGACGGUACCUACAGAAGAAGGACCGGCUAACUACGU
rnacentral:rRNA from 1 species